UGGGGAAUCUUGCGCAAUGGGCGAAAGCCUGACGCAGCGACGCCGCGUGGGGGAUGAAGGCCUUCGGGUCGUAAACCUCUUUCAGCAGGGAAGAAGCGCAAGUGACGGUACCUGCAGAAGAAGCACCGGCUAACUACGUGCCAGCAGCCGCGGUAAUACGUAGGGUGCAAGCGUUGUCCGGAAUUAUUGGGCGUAAAGCGCUCGUAGGCGGUCUGUCGCGUCUGCUGUGAAAACCUAGGGCUUAACUCUGGGCGUGCAGUGGGUACGGGCAGACUAGAGUGCGGUAGGGGAGACUGGAAUUCCUGGUGUAGCGGUGAAAUGCGCAGAUAUCAGGAGGAACACCGGUGGCGAAGGCGGGUCUCUGGGCCGUAACUGACGCUGAGGAGCGAAAGCAUGGGGAGCGAAC
rnacentral:rRNA from 1 species